GAAAGUAAAAAAAAAGGGGGAGGGGGUUUAGUCCCACAUCGGUUAGAUGUGGGAAUGAAAGACACCUCCUCAUGUAUAAAAAGAGGAGGUGCAUUGUGGAGGAAGCAUGAAGAAUUUUUUAUUGCAAUUUGUGAAAAUUGCAAUUAAGGGCCCAAGAUGCAAUUUGUGAAAAUUACAAGUAAUGGCCCAAAGGUUUGAAUAAUUAAAUUCAAAUCUAUAGUUUUUUUAAUAUAAUUUUGAGACCACAAUCCCGUUUUUAUAUUAUUUUUCUCUCUUCCUCUCACGUUGCUCGGCGUUUUCUCGCAAGGGGGGAUUAUUUUCUUUUUCUUCAGAUUAUAUUGACAAAGAUAGUGGUGAAAAAGGAGUUGUGAAGGGGAACUUGUUAUUCAAGACACAAGGAUCGAGUCCGGCCGAGAAAGCACCAGAGGUGUAACUAUGGUGUAUGAGACACCAUCUUUUACGUUGCCUCUUAUUUUGGAUUAUACAAUGUAUCUUGUGCCAACUUAGGACAUAUCUUCUUUGUGAAGCAUGUAAACUCUAAUCCUUUUUAUUAAAAGUAUUUAUAUGA